UAACAUGCUCCAUCCUCGUCCCCAGGCCCAAGCUCGGGUGGGGGCCGCCCGAGCUUGGGCCUGGAGACGAGGAUGUAACAUGC